rnacentral:rRNA from 1 species
UGCGAACUCCUACGGGAGGCAGCAGUGAGGAAUAUUGGUCAAUGGACGGAAGUCUGAACCAGCCAAGUAGCGUGCAGGAUGACGGCCCUCCGGGUUGUAAACUGCUUUAGUUCGGGAAUAACGACGGGGACGUGUCCCUGGAAAGAAUGUACCGAAAGAAUAAGGACCGGCUAAUUCCGUGCCAGCAGCCGCGGUAAUACGGAAGGUCCAGGCGUUAUCCGGAUUUAUUGGGUUUAAAGGGAGCGUAGGCGGACUGUUAAGUCAGCGGUUAAAGAGUGUGGCUCAACCAUACGAUGCCGUUGAAACUGGUGGUCUUGAGUGCACACAGGGAUGCUGGAACUCGUGGUGUAGCGGUGAAAUGCUUAGAUAUCACGAUGAACUCCGAUCGCGAAGGCAGGUGUCCGGGGUGUAACUGACGCUGAGGCUCGAAAGUGUGGGUAUCAAACAGGAUUAGAUACCCUUGUAGUCCUAG